AGUAGUGUGUCAGAAUAGAACUUGGAAGAAAGAACACAGGAAAAGGUUCUGUCAGUUGGUAAAUUCCUCAGACUGACUGGCUCUAGACUGACUGGCUCUUAUGAACUGAGUCUCUCACUCACUGGGCUUCGGUUAGUGAGUUUGCUCUCUCUCUGGCUGCUGGUGGAGACAGACAUCUGAAACCUUGCUCUGUGAUAGUGAGAGGGAAGAAAGAACUCUGAAACCCAUCUGAAGAGGUUUUCUACUUUCCUGACUAAGAGAAGUCAUCUCUAAGAAGAAGCUGGGGGGAGAGAAGAGAAGGGAAGGCAAGGAAAGGAAGGGAAAUAAAGUGAAGGGAAAGACAAUUAAGUGCCUACUAUAGGCAAGGGACUGUGAUAAAGAAACUGAGACCCAGAGAGGAUGAAAUUUGCUCAAGAUGAUAUACGUGGACCUACUCAUCAAUAUUUUCUUCAGUGCUUUUGCAAGGCUGACCACCUACUCAUGGAUGGCCCUUGGAUAUUUACUUCAAGCAGACAUCAUGCAGCAUUUAAUGUUGUCAAGACGCAGCCUGACUGGGAGAGAAACAAAAACAAAAACUGAGGAAUUGUUGAUUGUAUCUGUCACAAUUGAUGACCCAUGGGGUACUAGAAACCUACGGCAACUUUCUUUAAAUUCAUGUGUAUCUUGACUAUAAGUGUCAUUGAGUGAAUGAAAUGGUGUCCUGGGAAUUUCCUUUACAACUCUGGAGGAAUGAAGGAAGACAUUACUUGAUUGUUCAGGAUAAAGGGAUGCUGGAAGACAGGUUAUGAUCCUUUGAAUGGAAUAUAUUCCCUUGCUUUUAGAAAAUUCAUUUACUUGUAGCCAUAGGAACCUAGAUUUAAUACUAAGGGGGCUUUAUAAAAUGACACAUAUGGCAUCUUGACCAGAAGUGCUAUAUGUGGAGUCUAUUUACCACCCAAAGCCCACAAUACUCCUCAUUUUGUUCUGAACCAAAUUAAAAUGUAAUUGGAAAAUAUUUAA
rnacentral:lncRNA from 1 species